AUGGACCUAGGCAAAUCAAGCUCCAUCAUCUCCGAGCAGGAGAUCAAGGAGCUCUGUGCACAGAUGGACGAGAUGGUCGCUUUUAUGAAUUACAGGAUCAUACCGUCAGCCCCACUUAUCUGCAGCAGCAGCAAUGGGACAAAAGAUGAAGAAGACAAGGCGCCGCAGUCCCCGGGGAUCGACGGCAUCUUACAGCGGCUAGCUGACAUGCGGCGCGACAUGUCCAAGCUCAAAUCGGAACUGGCCCCUUUCUGGCACGAAUACCCAUAUGAGAAGAAGUCGGAGCUGACUCCGGAGGAGAGGGAGAAGAGGAUCAAAUCCUGGCACGAGUAUGAGAAGCUGGACAACAAGGACAAGGCCAGCAAGGAGAUGGAGUUCGACGUGGACGACUUCGAGGGCUACUGUCAAGGCAUGACAGCUUUAGUUGAACACUUUAGAUACACAAGUAAGAUAUAUAUGGCCAACACUACACGCCGAGACAGACCCCACACCAUCUUGCUUCCAACAAGAUCACAUUGCAGAUCUUCUCCUUCAAAAUUGCCAACAUCGAUUUGGACCUGCAAUGGCCACUCCUGGAAUGGCCACUCAAAGUGUACGGCCUCAUCGCUGCACGAGACAGUGUGGAUCGCAGACGCAAUUUUCUCUUCUUACGGGAAAGGGACAAUUUCCAAGAGAUCACCCAAGAAAAACCCUUCUUGUGCUUGA
rnacentral:rRNA from 1 species